rnacentral:rRNA from 1 species
AUUGAACGCUGGCGGCAUGCUUUACACAUGCCAGUCGAACGGCAGCGGGGAGGAGCUUGCUUCUCUGCCGGCGAGUGGCGCACGGGUGAGUAAUACAUCGGAACGUGUCGAGAAGAGGGGGAUAACCACCCGAAAGGGUGGCUAAUACCGCAUAAAUUCUGAGGAAGAAAGCUGGGGACCUAGGAAUAGGCCUAGCGCUUUUUGAGCGGCCGAUGUCGGAUUAGCUAGUUGGUGAGGUAAAGGCUCACCAAGGCGAAGAUCUGUAGCGGGUCUGAGAGGAUGAUCCGCCACACUGGGACUGAGACACGGCCCAGACUCCUACGGGAGGCAGCAGUGGGGAAUUUUGGACAAUGGGGGCAACCCUGAUCCAGCCAUGCCGCGUGUAUGAAGAAGGCCUUAGGGUUGUAAAGUACUUUUGUUAGGGAAGAAAAGUCAGCUGUGAAUAAUGGCUGAUACUGACGGUACCUAAAGAAUAAGCACCGGCUAACUACGUG